GACGAACGCUGGCGGCGUGCUUAACACAUGCAAGUCGAACGGUAAGGCCCUUCGGGGUACACGAGUGGCGAACGGGUGAGUAGCACGUGGGUGAUCUGCCCUGCACUUCGGGAUAAGCCUGGGAAACUGGGUCUAAUACCGGAUAGGACCACUGCCUGCAUGGGUGGUGGGGGAAAGCUUUUGCGGUGUGGGAUGGGCCCGCGGCCUAUCAGCUUGUUGGUGGGGUGAUGGCCUACCAAGGCGACGACGGGUAGCCGGCCUGAGAGGGUGACCGGCCACACUGGGACUGGGAUACGGCCCAGACGCCUACGGGAGGCAGCAGUGGGGAAUAUUGCACAAUGGGCGCAAGCCUGAUGCAGCGACGCCGCGUGAGGGAUGACGGCCUUCGGGUUGUAAACCUCUUUCAGCACCGACGAAGCGCAAGUGACGGUAGGUGCAGAAGAAGGACCGGCCAACUACGUGCCAGCCGCCGCCGUAACAC
rnacentral:rRNA from 1 species